GCGGAGGGAUCAUUACCGAGUUUACAACUCCCAAACCCCUGUGAACAUACCUAUACGUUGCCUCGGCGGAUCAGCCCGCGCCCCGUAAAACGGGACGGCCCGCCCGAGGACCCCUAAACUCUGUUUUUAGUGGAACUUCUGAGUAAAACAAACAAAUAAAUCAAAACUUUCAACAACGGAUCUCUUGGUUCUGGCAUCGAUGAAGAACGCAGCAAAAUGCGAUAAGUAAUGUGAAUUGCAGAAUUCAGUGAAUCAUCGAAUCUUUGAACGCACAUUGCGCCCGCCAGUAUUCUGGCGGGCAUGCCUGUUCGAGCGUCAUUUCAACCCUCAAGCUCAGCUUGGUGUUGGGACUCGCGGUAACCCGCGUUCCCCAAAUCGAUUGGCGGUCACGUCGAGCUUCCAUAGCGUAGUAAUCAUACACCUCGUUACUGGUAAUCGUCGCGGCCACGCCGUUAAACCCCAACUUCUGAAUGUUGACCUCGGAUCAGGUAGGAAUACCCGCUGAACUUAAGCAUAUCAAUAAGUCGGAGGA
rnacentral:rRNA from 1 species